rnacentral:sRNA from 12 species
ACUGUGGAGAGUUAUAUACAAACGAUAGUAGCAGGAAUGCAAGGUCGGACUCGUUGAAACAGUAA